CCUACGGGGGGCUGCAGUAGGGAAUCUUCCGCAAUGGACGAAAGUCUGACGGAGCAACGCCGCGUGAGCGAAGAAGGUCUUCGGAUCGUAAAGCUCUGUUGUUAGGGAAGAACAAGUACGGGAGGAAAUGACCGUACCUUGACGGUACCUAACGAGGAAGCCACGGCUAACUACGUGCCAGCAGCCGCGGUAAUACGAAGGUGGCAAGCGUUGUCCGGAAUUAUUGGGCGUAAAGCGAGCUGCGGCGGUCUUUUAAGUCUGAUGUGCAAUCCUGCGGCUCAACCGCAAGCGGUCAUUGGAAACGGGGAGACUUGAGCGCAAAAGAGGAAAGCGGGAUCCCACGGGGAGCGGUGAAAUGCGUAGUGAUGUUGAGGAACACCAGUGGCGAAGGAGGCUGCCUGGUUGGUAACUGACGCUGAGGCGCGAAAGCGUGGGGAGAAAACAAGAUUAGAUACCAUUGUAGUC
rnacentral:rRNA from 1 species